AGAUGUGCCGCCCCAGCCAAACUCCCAACCUGACAGUGUCUUCGACACGGAUCGACCCGCCGAUGGGGCCUUAAUUCUAGAAAAUGAGCCGUGAAGCUCGCUUCCGCUUAAUCGAAUAAGUAAAAAAACUAUAAGAGUAUUUAUAGGUGGGAGCGCAAGCGACAGUGAAAUACCACUACUCUUAUAGUUUUUUUUACUUAUUCGAUUAAGCGGAAGCGAGCUUCACGGCUCAUUUUCUAGAAUUAAGGCCCCAUCGGCGGGUCGAUCCGUGUCGAAGACACUGUCAGGUUGGGAGUUUGGCUGGGGCGGCACAUCUGUCAAAUGAUAACGCAGGUGUCCUAAGGUGAGCUCAAUGAGAACGGAAAUCUCAUGUAGAACAAAAGGGUAAAAA